AUACGGAGGAUCCGAGCGUUAUCCGGAUUUAUUGGGUUUAAAGGGUGCGCAGGCGGCCAUUUAAGUCAGCGGUUAAAUCGUGGGGCUCAACCCCAUUCUGCCGUUGAUACUGGGUGGCUUGAUUGCGGUCGAGGUUGGCGGAAUUCGUUGUGUAGCGGUGAAAUGCAUAGAUAUGACGAAGAACACCGAUUGCGUAGGCAGCUGACCAGACCGCAAAUGACGCUCAUGCACGAAAGUGCGGGGAUCGAACAGGAUUAGAUACCCUGGUAGACCGCACAGUAAACGAUGAAUACUUGUUUUCGGCGAUAUAAUGUCGGAGGCAAAGCGAAAGCGAUAAGUAUUCCACCUGGGGAGUACGCCGGCAACGGUGAA
rnacentral:rRNA from 1 species